CCCUUAGAGUUUGAUCCUGGCUCAGAACGAACGCUGGCGGCGUGGAUAAGACAUGCAAGUCGAACGGGAUAACAUCUGUAGCAAUACAGGUGUUAUUUAGUGGCGAACGGGUGCGUAACACGUGGGCAAUCUGCCGAGAAGUGGGGGAUAGCUCGCCGAAAGGCGAAUUAAUACCGCAUAUGAUCAGCUAAGACAUCUUAGCGACAUCAAAGCCGGGGCAACCUGGCGCUUCUUGAUGAGCCCGCGGCCUAUCAGCUAGUUGGUGAGGUAACGGCUCACCAAGGCUAUGACGGGUAGCUGGUCUGAGAGGACGACCAGUCACACUGGAACUGAGACACGGUCCAGACACCUACGGGUGGCAGCAGUCGAGAAUUUUUCUCAAUGGGGGAAACCCUGAAGGAGCGACGCCGCGUGGAGGAUGAAGGCUUUCGGGUUGUAAACUCCUGUCAUUUGAGAACAAGGUGCAUCGGUUAGCUGCCGAUGCAUUGAUAGUAUCGGAAGAGGAAGAGACGGCUAACUCUGUGCCAGCAGCCGCGGUAAUACAGAGGUCUCAAGCGUUGUUCGGAUUCAUUGGGCGUAAAGGGUGCGUAGGUGGCGGGGUAAGUCAGGUGUGAAAUUUCGGAGCUCAACUCCGAAACUGCAUUUGAUACUGCCUUGCUUGAGGACUGGAGAGGAGACUGGAAUUCACGGUGUAGCAGUGAAAUGCGUAGAUAUCGUGAGGAAGACCAGUGGC
rnacentral:rRNA from 1 species